rnacentral:rRNA from 1 species
UACAGAGGCCCCAAGCGUUAGGCGGAAUCACUGGGCUUAAAGCGUGUGUAGGCGGGUUGGUAAGUACUUUGUGAAAUCCCACGGCUUAACUGUGGAACUGCUUAGUAUACUGCCGAUCUUGAGUCAUCUAGGGGCAGCCGGAACAGAUGGUGGAGCGGUGAAAUGCGUAGAUAUUGGGAAGAACACCUGAGGCGAAGGCGGGUUGCUGGGCGUGAUACUGACGCUGAGGCGCGAAAGCCAGGGGAGCAAACGGG